CAGAAAUCUGGCCUAAGAGUUUGAUAAAACGAUCGUUUCCGCUUCCUAUUCUUUCUUUUAGGUUGCUGCUUUGCAGUAUCAUUGAAGAAAAUGAGAGCCAAGUGGAGAAAGAAGCGCAUGCGAAGGUUGAAGCGUAAGCGAAGAAAGAUGAGGGCUAGAUCCAAGUAAAUCUUUGUCCAACCUGUUGUGUGUUUGUUUGUCAUGAUGUGUGCAUCAGAUGCCAGUCACAGCUGCUUGACCACCAGAAACAAAGGCUGUCAAUAACAGAUCAUUUCUAGCAACUGGUAUUUGUAUUGAACAAACUUGUGUGCCAUAAUGGACAUUACCUCUCACUGCACAAGAUCUGUGGUGUGUUGUGGUCAUUAUGUUCUUGAUUUGUGUCUGAGACCGCAUCCUGUCCUGUAAUAAAUAUUGGCUUUCAUGUU